rnacentral:rRNA from 1 species
UAGGGAAUCUUCCACAAUGGACGAAAGUCUGAUGGAGCAAUGCCGCGUGAGUGAAGAAGGUUUUCGGAUCGUAAAACUCUGUUGUGAGGGAAGAACAAGUACGAGAGUAACUGCUCGUACCUUGACGGUACCUCAUUAGAAAGCCACGGCUAACUACGUGCCAGCAGCCGCGGUAAUACGUAGGUGGCAAGCGUUGUCCGGAAUUAUUGGGCGUAAAGCGCGCGCAGGCGGUCCUUUAAGUCUGAUGUGAAAUCCCACGGCUCAACCGUGGAAGGUCAUUGGAAACUGGGGGACUUGAGUACAGAAGAGGAAAGCGGAAUUCCAAGUGUAGCGGUGAAAUGCGUAGAGAUUUGGAGGAACACCAGUGGCGAAGGCGGCUUUCUGGUCUGUAACUGACGCUGAGGCGCGAAAGCGUGGGGAGCAAACAGGAUUAGAUACCCUGGUAGUCCACGCCGUAAACGAUGAGUGCUAAGUGUUAGGGGGUUUCCGCCCUUUAGUGCUGCAGCUAACGCAUUAAGCACUCCGCCUGGGGAGUACGGCCGCAAGGCUGAAACUCAAAUGAAUUGACGG